ACCGAAUCAUCAACAGGUCUUUGUUACCUGGAGACAAGACCUAUCAUUUCACUGAUAGCACAGUAACGUAGAUGCCUGUAGCCAGCCCUGGUACUGGCAACUGUCUCCUGCUGUAGGAGGAAGAGCUGAAGCAGAUGUGCACUUUCGCUGACCGGAGAAAUCAGCAUCACCUUCGUUUCUAGAAACAGCAUUCACACAGUGCCUGGCGAGAGACGGCUUCAGCUUUCGUUGUUUCUGUGGAGAAGGGUAACCUGGCACCAGCCAUCAGGCUGCACAGAUGUACCGGUCAGGGUACCCAGGAACGUCAGUCCUAGUGUAAUGGACAGACAGCAGGAAG